rnacentral:rRNA from 1 species
AUUGAACGCUGGCGGCAUGCCUUACACAUGCAAGUCGAACGGUAACAGGUCUUCGGAUGCUGACGAGUGGCGAACGGGUGAGUAAUACAUCGGAACGUGCCUAGUAGUGGGGGAUAACUACUCGAAAGAGUGGCUAAUACCGCAUGAGAUCUACGGAUGAAAGCAGGGGAUCGCAAGACCUUGUGCUACUAGAGCGGCCGAUGGCAGAUUAGGUAGUUGGUGGGAUAAAAGCUUACCAAGCCGACGAUCUGUAGCCGGUCUGAGAGGACGAUCGGCCACACUGGGAGUGGGACACGGCCAAGACUCCUACGGGAGGCAGAAGGGGGGAAUUUUGGACAAUGGCGAAAGCCUGAUCCAGCAAUGCCGCGUGCAGGAGGAGGGCCUUCGGGUUGUAAACUGCUUUUGUGCGGAACGAAAAGCCCCGGGUUAAUACCCUGGGGUUAUGACGGUACCGUAAGAAUAAGCACCGGCUAACUACGUGCCAGCAGCCGCCGUAU